AAGCCAUCGCUGUAUCGGCCCACAUUUUCCCUGCCGCUUGAUCGCUGAUAUUAUUUGUUCUUUAUCAAACAAUCGUUGAUCAAACGUCGAGCUUGUCGCCAACCACUAUCAGCUCACCAAACACACACAGGUACACACACACUUGUAGGUUUUAACGAUCGUACAUUUGGCAUUCGCCUCGAAUUCUAAGCUGCUAGCGAAAAGCUCCGCGAUUAGUUAUUUAUCUACAGAUACUAAAACCUUCUAGCGGCCUUCUAGGUAGUGUACAUGUCAACGUACUCGGCGCAAAUGUUUCGAACAGCAAAUAAACGCAAACGAGGUAGUCCAUUGUGCUUCUUAUACACAGCCAGCCACAGCAUUGCGGAAAUGUUGUGGAACUCUAAGUCUCGUCAGCUUCAACGACUAAUGUAAUAACUUCAACAACAACAACAACAAAACUAAUAAACACGAUUGUCGCCAGCAUAGAAAAAGAAAUAAAAACCAACAACAGCAAUAUGUGGCUACCAACUUAACACAGCCAUAGACAAGUGUUAAAAAAUAUAUUAAAAAAAUUCAAAGGCACACAACCAAAAAAACAAAAAAAGCACUGCAAACAAAGGCUAAAAUA